GAGGGGCCAGCAGCACAAAGAGGCAAACAGCCCCCUCUGUUAAACAUGCACAGCUCCUCUGGCAGGGCGGGCUGGGGGGCUGCAACAGUUUGUGUAGGGCGGGUGCUGAGAGCUAUUCAACCAAACUGUAAACCCUGUAUAUGAUGGACCCCAUUACAAGCCAGGGGGUGCAGCAGCACCCAUGUACCAUGAAUAACCACUGAGCAAGGGCACAGGGCUCUGUCCUAUUCCAACGCCAUGAGGCUAGUAGAUCCUAAACUGAAAUGCUGCCACCUUAAACCAAAGGCCGUUCUUUCCUCCUAGUAAAUCUGUACAGAACCAAGCCAGCUGCAGCUGCCAUAAACCUUUCUAGCUACAGCCGCUACCUUGCUGUCCUUAAGUGUACACUGCUGAAGGCAGAAAAACUGCAUUCAUUCACACCAGCUCCUUCAAGCCAUCUUGCUCCUGCAGCCAGCCCAGGGGAGUGGGCACUGUCUGCUGAGGGGAACCGCGUGUGCAAGUAGAAGCCGCUCUUUCCCCACUGACAAAGGGCAAAAAGCUUAACAUGGUCUCCUGGGUGAAGUGACACUGCCUCCUUCCUGCCUCUGCCUCCGGCCAGCCUUCCACGCAAACAGGUACUUCAUUGUGCCACUCGAUGGAGGCUAUUUCGGCAAGUUGCUCAAUGAACUGUUACUACAGUGCUGCCGUGAAAUCAUACCCGAAGCACAGAACUUUCUCUCUAGGAUUGCAAGUGCCACCACAAAGCAGCAGAGAGGUGUAAUCACCCCAGGGGAAGACAAGAGAGGCACGCAACAUGGGACGAGUACCAAUUCCCAGAGAAGCAGACGGGGCUACAGAUUAAAGUUAAAUAUUUCUUUGCAAACCUAUCCAACAGAUGAUUUCCUC